GAUGAAAGAUACUCCUGUCUGGUUGGAAACUUCUCAUAGAGUAACUGUGGUUUUGGUUUUCUCACAGGUCUGUUUUUCAGGUCUGUGAAAAGGCAAGACAAGACAGUA
rnacentral:snoRNA from 1 species